rnacentral:rRNA from 1 species
UACGGAGGAUGCAAGCGUUAUCCGGAUUUAUUAGGUUUAAAGGAUGCGUAGGCGGACUUGUAAGUCAGCGGUGAAAUACUACAGCUUAACUGUAGAACUGCCGUUGAUACUGUGAGUCUUGAGUAUAGUUGAGGUAGGCGGAAUGUGUAGUGUAGCGGUGAAAUGCUUAGAUAUUACACAGAACACCGAUUGCGAAGGCAGCUUACUAAGCUAUAACUGACGCUGAGGCACGAAAGCAUGGGGAGCAAACAGGA